rnacentral:rRNA from 1 species
GACGAACGCUGGCGGCGUGCUUAACACAUGCAAGUCGAACGGGCCCGCCCCUGUUUUUGGGGGUGGGUUGAGUGGCGAACGGGUGAGUAUCACGUGAGUAACCUGCCCCCUGCUCCUGGAUAACUGCUUGAAAGGGCGGCUAAUACGGGGUGUGCCGGCUGGUCCGCAUGGGCCUGGUCGGGAUAGUUUCAUCUUCGGGUGUUUCGGUGGGGGAUGGGCUCGCGGCCUAUCAGCUUGUUGGUGGGGUGAUGGCCCACCAAGGCGGUGACGGGUAGCCGGCCUGAGAGGGUGGGCGGCCACACUGGGACUGAGACACGGCCCAGAGUCCUGCGGGAGGCAGCAGGGGGGGGUAUUGCACAAUGGGCGGAAGCCUGAUGCAGCGACGUCGCGUGAGGGAUGGAGGCCUUCGGGUUGUGAACCUCUUUCUCCGGUGGUGAAGGCCCUGUCCGUUGCGGCGGGGUUGACGGUAGCCGGGUAUGAAGCGCCGGCUAACUACGUG